AUUGAACGCUGGCGGAAUGCUUUACACAUGCAAGUCGAGCGGCAGCACGGGGGCAACCCUGGUGGCGAGCGGCGAACGGGUGAGUAAUACAUCGGAACAUGCCCAGUCGUGGGGGAUAACACUUCGAAAGAAGUGCUAAUACCGCAUACGUCCUGAGGGGGAAAGCGGGGGAUCGCAAGACCUCGCGCGAUUGGAGUGGCCGAUGUCAGAUUAGCUAGUUGGUGGGGUAAAGGCCUACCAAGGCAACGAUCUGUAGCUGGUCUGAGAGGAUGAUCAGCCACACUGGGACUGAGACACGGCCCAGACUCCUACGGGAGGCAGCAGUGGGGAAUUUUGGACAAUGGGGGCAACCCUGAUCCAGCCAUUCCGCGUGAGUGAAGAAGGCCUUCGGGCUGUAAAGCUCUUUCGGCAGGAACGAAACGGUGAGCUCUAACAUAGCUUGCUAAUGACGGUACCUGAAGAAGAAGCACCGGCUAACUACGUG
rnacentral:rRNA from 1 species